GGAAGUAAAAGUCGUAACAAGGUCUCCGUUGGUGAACCAGCGGAGGGAUCAUUACCGAGUUUACAACUCCCAAACCCAAUGUGAACGUUACCAAACUGUUGCCUCGGCGGGGUCACGCCCCGGGUGCGUCGCAGCCCCGGAACCAGGCGCCCGCCGGAGGAACCAACCAAACUCUUUCUGUAGUCCCCUCGCGGACGUAUUUCUUACAGCUCUGAGCAAAAAUUCAAAAUGAAUCAAAACUUUCAACAACGGAUCUCUUGGUUCUGGCAUCGAUGAAGAACGCAGCGAAAUGCGAUAAGUAAUGUGAAUUGCAGAAUUCAGUGAAUCAUCGAAUCUUUGAACGCACAUUGCGCCCGCCAGUAUUCUGGCGGGCAUGCCUGUCCGAGCGUCAUUUCAACCCUCGAACCCCUCCGGGGGAUCGGCGUUGGGGAUCGGGACCCCUCACACGGGUGCCGGCCCCGAAAUACAGUGGCGGUCUCGCCGCAGCCUCUCCUGCGCAGUAGUUUGCACAACUCGCACCGGGAGCGCGGCGCGUCCACGUCCGUAAAACACCCAACUUUCUGAAAUGUUGACCUCGGAUCAGGUAGGAAUACCCGCUGAACUUAAGCAUAUCAAUAAGCGGAGGAA
rnacentral:rRNA from 1 species